rnacentral:rRNA from 1 species
UGGGGAAUAUUGGACAAUGGGCGCAAGCCUGAUCCAGCCAUGCCGCGUGAGUGAUGAAGGCCCUAGGGUUGUAAAGCUCUUUCACCGGUGAAGAUAAUGACGGUAACCGGAGAAGAAGCCCCGGCUAACUUCGUGCCAGCAGCCGCGGUAAUACGAAGGGGGCUAGCGUUGUUCGGAUUUACUGGGCGUAAAGCGCACGUAGGCGGACUUUUAAGUCAGGGGUGAAAUCCCGGGGCUCAACCCCGGAACUGCCUUUGAUACUGGAAGUCUUGAGUAUGGUAGAGGUGAGUGGAAUUCCGAGUGUAGAAGUGAAAUUCGUAGAUAUUCGGAGGAACACCAGUGGCGAAGGCGGCUCACUGGACCAUUACUGACGCUGAGGUGCGAAAGCGUGGGGAGCAAAUAGG